AUUCAAUCACAAAUUUCAAGUCAAGCUCGCUUAAAUCUCGCAAAUGUUUUUCAAAUAUUUCUUAAUUUGCAUCCUAAUUCACUAUGGGUUGACAGCAAUUCCAAAGUAUUGUAGACAAGAAGGAGUCAUCGAUGAUGCUGACAAGGAUGCUUGCCGUAUCAAAUACAACUCCUGCUUAGCGGAGGUACCUAAAACUGUGGCAAAGAGAAGUAUGGUAUAUGAGCAUGAUGAGGAUUGUGAUGAUGUUUGCAUUUAUAACAAAUAUAAAAACGGUCAUACAGAUAAAAUAUGGUGUGGAUAAAUGGUGUAACAAUUUGCAUAAAAACUUGGUAUAACAAUGAACCAAAAUUACUAUUAUAUUGAUUGUAGCUUAGAUCUCUUUAUAGGUUUUUGAAUAUUUCAAAAUAUUCCUAAAUUGUUUUAUUAAAAUUAAUUACAGUUAAAGUAAUAAAUCGUCUAUUGUUUAAAUUAU